GGCUCGGUGGUGUAGUUGGUUAUCACGUCAGUCUAACAACUUGUUAGGCCCACUGAAGGUCCCGAGUUCAAACCUCGGCUGAGUCA
rnacentral:tRNA from 1 species